rnacentral:rRNA from 1 species
AGUGAACGCUGGCGGUAGGCCUAACACAUGCAAGUCGAACGGCAGCACAGUAAGAGCUUGCUCUUACGGGUGGCGAGUGGCGGACGGGUGAGGAAUACAUCGGAAUCUACUUUUUCGUGGGGGAUAACGUAGGGAAACUUACGCUAAUACCGCAUACGACCUACGGGUGAAAGCAGGGGAUCUUCGGACCUUGCGCGAUUGAAUGAGCCGAUGUCGGAUUAGCUGGUUGGCGGGGUAAAGGCCCACCAAGGCGACGAUCCGUAGCUGGUCUGAGAGGAUGAUCAGCCACACUGGAACUGAGACACGGUCCAGACUCCUACGGGAGGCAGCGGUGGGGAAUAUUGGACAAUGGGCGCAAGCCUGAUCCAGCCAUACCGCGUGGGUGAAGAAGGCCUUCGGGUUGUAAAGCCCUUUUGUUGGGAAAGAAAAGCAGCAGGUUAAUACCCCGCUGUUCUGACGGUACCCAAAGAAUAAGCACCGGCUAACUUCGUG